rnacentral:rRNA from 1 species
AUGGAAGAAAUAGAUGAUGAUGAUAAGUUAGAGGAAAUUUUAGACCACAUAGCAGAGAAGAAUAACAAGAUAUUGAAUGUGACAAUAGUUAGGGCCAGUGCAGAGAAAGUUCCCAAUACAAAUACUAGUGUUAAUGUCAUUGAGAUGCAGACCCCAAUAGAACAAAUUGGAGAGCCCAAACUGUAUCAGAUUGAUGAUGAAGGAGUGUUGUUCAAUGCUGAAAAUGUGCAUAUAGAAGCUGAGAGUUGUGAUGUAGGAGGAGAACAAGAGGCAAUGCCCUUGCAGUUUGACACACAGCAGAGCAGAAUAAAUGUGAGCCUCAAACCUGCUUUAGGUGCUGCAGUAGUGGAAGAAUACCAUGUGAUUGACAAUUCAGAGGAGCAACUGUUAAUAGAGCAAGAAAUGGAGGAGAAAAGGAGAAAUGAAAUUGAAAUGUUUAGGAAGAACAAGAAGGAAAGAGUGAAGGAGACUUGUUUGAACAAGAAGGAAAGAGUGAAGGAGACUUGUUUGAACAGGAAAGCAGCAGUGAUGGACAAUGAAGAGGAUAGUGAUGAUGAUGAUCUAGUAGAAUAUGGUGAUAUCUUAGCUAGGCUUGAGGAGAUGAGAAGACAGAGGAAUGACCCAGAACUUCAUUUUGAAGGGGACACAGAUGUUGAGGAAAUGUGUGACUCAGAGGUGGAUGAUGAGCUGUAUGUGCCACAAGGUGAAGAAGAGGAUAUAGAGGAGGAAGAGGAACAAGAGGAUGAGCUAGGGCAAGAUGUACCAAACAAGAGAAGGUCCAAGAGAGAAAGAAAAGGCCCAACAAGCAAUUCACAUGGGAGUAUAGAACACAUGUUUGAGGAGGACUGGAUUCCAUCAUCUGAUGAGGACAAGAAACCACAAGACCUUGGUGUGGAAGAUGAUGAUGGUGCUGAGGCAUUGGCAUAUGUGUUGCCCAAUGGUAGAAAAAGCAGAGCAAAGGAGAUGAAGAGGUUAUGGUUUUAUGAGCACAGAGCUCAUUCAGAGGAGAAAUUUGUGAAGCAUCUUUGCUUCUUAAAUGUGUAUCAGUUUAGAACUGCACUUCAAACCCUGCACAUUGCUCAAAACAGGAACUUUGUCUACCAUAGAAACUGCAGUGAUAGGGUGAUAGCACAAUGCAUAGAUGAGCAAUGUCCCUUCUAUAUAGCAGCUUCUUAG